UCGAAGCUACUCUGUGGCUCGGCCAGCUGC
rnacentral:piRNA from 1 species